rnacentral:rRNA from 1 species
AACGCGAAGAACCUUACCUGCCCUUGACAUAGGACGAAGCUGACUGAGAAGUCGGCGUGCCGAAAGGAACGUCCAUACAGGUGCUGCAUGGCUGUCGUCAGCUCGUGUCGUGAGAUGUUGGGUUAAGUCCCGUAACGAGCGCAACCCUUGUUCUUAGUUACCAGCACGUAAAGGUGGGGACUCUAAGGAGACUGCCGGUGACAAACCGGAGGAAGGCGGGGACGACGUCAAGUCAUCAUGGCCCUUACGGGCAGGGCUACACACGUGCUACAAUGGCUGGUACAGAGGGGAGCGAAACAGUGAUGUGGAGCGAAUCUUAUGAAAGCCAGUCGUAGUCCGGAUUGAAGUCUGCAACUCGACUUCAUGAAGUCGGAAUCGCUAGUAAUCGCGAAUCAGCAUGUCGCGGUGAAUACGUUCCCGGGCCUUGUACACACCGCACUACUA